rnacentral:misc_RNA from 1 species
GAUGAAGAACGUAGCGAAAGGCGAUACGUAAUGUGAAUUGCAAAUUCAGUGAAUCAUCGAGUCUUUGAACGCACAUUGCGCCCCCUGGUAUUCCGGGGGGCAUGCCUGUCCGAGCGUCAUUGCUGCCCUCAAGCACGGCUUGUGUGUUGGGCCCCGUCCUCCGAUCCCGGGGGACGGGCCCGAAAGGCAGCGGCGGCACCGCGUCCGGUCCUCGAGCGUAUGGGGCUUUGUCACCCGCUCUGUAGGCCCGGCCGGCGCUUGCCGAUCAACCCAAAUUUUUUAUCCAGGUUGACCUCGGAUCAGGUAGGGAUACCCGCUGAACUUAAGCAUAUCAAUAAGCGGAGGA